GCCGGUCUUGUCGCUUACGCACAGCAGUCGAGAUUCGGGAAAGGGCCUCUCUCACCUAGGCCUUUCUGGUCUACCAGCGGAAGGCACCAAAUAUCGUCAGGAUAUAUUGACAAUUAUCCAACUUUUAAACAUCAGUGAGGCCCGGCAGACUAAAGUGACUUGCCACAGUCUUGAAUUCGAGGAGCCUUUGGACAUGGUAGGAGGACCCAUCGAGAUGCCCUACACGGGACAAAGAGUUGGGCUGGAUGAUCCUGAUGGGUCCCCUCAGCAUAUUCUGUGAUUACCAGAAUUUCAGACAAGCAUCAACAAACAGUGCAAGGGGAAGAUGAUCAGGAAAUAAGUGUUUAAACAGAGCCCCCAGGUAACAGAAGUUGCUGCACUGUCCAGUCCCUUCUGUGGUGACAGCGAUGGACUGCUCUCGGUUCACCUCCAAUUCUAUCAACUGUGAAGAGGUACGACAGUUCAUUUUGAAGAAACAAGAAUAAAAUAUUGCAAUAAAUCAGUAAAUGUGUUAUUGCAAUUUCCUGCCUAUAUAAGAAAUGUCUUUCGAUUAAAAAAUCUAAUAGUGA